GAAAUGCGAUAACUAGUGUGAAUUGCAGAAUUCCGUGAAUCAUCGAGUCUUUGAACGCACAUUGCGCCCCCUGGUAUUCCGGGGGGCAUGCCUGUCCGAGCGUCAUUGCUGCCCAUCAAGCACGGCUUGUGUGUUGGGUCGUCGUCCCCUCUCCGGGGGGCACGGGCCCCAAAGGCAGCGGCGGCACCGCGUCCGAUCCUCGAGCGUAUGGGGCUUUGUCACCCGCUCUGUAGGCCCGGCCGGCGCUUGCCGAACGCAAAUCAAUCUUUUUCCAGGUUGACCUCGGAUCAGGUAGGGAUACCCGCUGAACUUAAGC
rnacentral:misc_RNA from 1 species